rnacentral:piRNA from 1 species
AGGUUCAGUUCACAGAGUUUGAGGGC